CACUGAAACACCACUCCCCAUACGAUCACCAAAAUUAAGCAACGUCGAGCCUGAUCAGUACGUUGAUGGGUAACCGUUGGGAAUACCAGAUGAUGCAAG